ACCAAUGGGACUGUAUAUUUUCCUAGUUGGGGAGGCUUCAGAAGGCCAGAUUUGAGUUGAGACCUGAAGGCUAGGGGUUUUCUUGACCUUUUUUGGGGUGGGGGGAAGUCUUUACAAUAGACAGGAAAAUAGAUAAUAAGGGGACUAUUAUGUGUUGUGUCAUGGAGGACAAUGUGGAAAAAUAUUGGGAGUAGUUAACAGUAUUGAAUGCUGUUGAGAAAUUCAAAUUAGAUGAGAACUGAAAAUGUCAUUCUUGUCUUCUCAGUGUGUAGUCAUUGAUAAUUUUCGUGAAUGCUGUGUUGGUGGGGUAAUGGGCCUGCAGAUAACAUUGAAGUGGGUACAGGAUUGCUGGAGAUGAUGAAAUGGCAUCCUCAAGCAGACAAUUCUUCCAAGUUUAACUGUGGAUGAGAGACACAUCAGAUGGUGUUUCUUUUAGCUUGCAACACCAUGAAAAAAUUACUGAGACACUAGGAAUGCUGUGAACUGAGAAAGUUUGGGACCUUUGGCAUAACUAAAUCCUGCAUUUAACAGUUACUCUUGAACAGUUCAGACAAAUGUUAAUUUCAGUAAGAACUGCAUUAACAAGAUGAUGAGAAAAAUGGAGUGUUGUGAACUACAUGUCAUGGGAUAAUCAAAAUUAAACCUGAAAUCUCAGAAGAAACAAAUUGUUUGAAGAAAUUGGAUGUGAUUUUUUACAAUUUUUCAUUCAAUUAAAACUUUGUGAACUGUUUUGUGGUUUUGGUCUUCUCUAAAUUUUAAUCUUUGGCAUUUACUUCCAAAGUAUCCCCCACUAAACUUCAUAACAUUUAUUGUGUCUCUUCAUCAUUAAACUUUGAUGAAUUUA